AUCGCUUCUCGGCCUUUUGGCUAAGAUCAAGUGUAGUAUCUGUUCUUAUCAGUUUAAAAAAGAAAAAAGACAUAUACACAUACAAGGUGAACAGAAAUGGUACAAAGAGACCUGAGACCCCAGACCUGUUCCCUGAGAGCACCUGCUUCUGGCUCUUCAGCUUAACUCUCU
rnacentral:snRNA from 1 species